rnacentral:rRNA from 1 species
UGGAGGGCAAGUCUGGUGCCAGCAGCCGCGGUAAUUCCAGCUCCAAUAGCGUAUAUUAAAGUUGUUGCGGUUAAAAAGCUCGUAGUUGAAUCUGUGUGUCACAGUGUCGGUUCACCGCUCGCGGUGUCUAACUGGCAUUAUGUGGUACGUCCUACCGGUGGGCUUAGCUCCUUGCGGGCGGUCCAAAUAAUAUCCCGUCGCGGUGCUCUUCACUGAGUGUCGAGGUGGGCCGGUACGUUUACUUUGAACAAAUUAGAGUGCUCAAAGCAGGCUACCUUCGCCUGAAUACUGCGUGCAUGGAAUAAUGGAAUAGGACCUCGGUUCUAUUUUGUUGGUUUUCGGAACCCCGAGGUAAUGAUUAAUAGGGACAGAUGGGGGCAUUCGUAUUGCGACGUUAGAGGUGAAAUUCUUGGAUCGUCGCAAGACGGACUAAAGCGAAAGCAUUUGCCAAAAAUGUUUUCAUUAAUCAAGAACGAAAGUUAGAGGUUCGAAGGCGAUCAGAUACCGCCCUAGUUCUAACCAUAAACGAUGCCAGCUAGCGAUCCGCCGAAGUUCCUCCGAUGACUCGGCGGGCAGCUUCCGGGAAACCAAAGCUUUUGGGU